rnacentral:rRNA from 1 species
UACGUAGGGUGCGAGCGUUAAUCGGAAUUACUGGGCGUAAAGCGUGCGCAGGCGGUUUUGUAAGCCAGGUGUGAAAUCCCCGGGCUCAACCUGGGAAUGGCAUUUGGGACUGCAAGGCUGGAGUGCGGCAGAGGAGACUGGAAUUCCUGGUGUAGCAGUGAAAUGCGUAGAUAUCAGGAGGAAUACCGAUGGCGAAGGCAGCCCCCUGGGUCAAGAUUGACGCUCAUGCACGAAAGCGUGGGGAGCAAACAGG